UAUGUGAUCGUCUCUCGCAUAUCAAUAAGCGGAGGAAAAGAAACUAACAAGGAUUCCCCUAGUAACGGCGAGUGAAGCGGGAAGAGCUCAAAUUUGAAGUCUUAAAGGGUUUCCCUUUACGAAUUGUAGUUUAAAGAAGUGUUUUCUGUUGAGGUUUUGGUAAAAGUUCUUUGGAAUAGGACAUCAUAGAGGGUGAGAAUCCCGUAUUUGACCUUUACUUUCAACUUUGUGAUACACUUUCAAAGAGUCGGAUUGUUUGGGAAUGCAGUCCAAAAUGGGUGGUAAAUUUCAUCUAAAGCUAAAUAUUGGCGAGAGACCGAUAGCGAACAAGUACCGUGAGGGAAAGAUGAAAAGAACUUUGAAAAGAGAGUUAAACAGUACGUGAAAUUGUCAAAAGGGAAGCGUUUGACACCAGUGUUGUUUUUCUGAAAAUCAAUUAAAGAACUGUUUAUGCUAAGCUGUUUAGACUUUAUCAGCUAACUGUUUAGUUUUGAGCUUUUCUUUAAUGCACUUUUCAGUUAACAAGUCAACAUCAAUUUCUUUUGCUGUAAAAAAGCUUGAGGAAGGUGGCUUGAGAUUCGUCUUAAGUGUUUAUAGCCUCUUGCCUACGCAGUCGGAGAGAUUGAGGUCUGCAGCGUAGAUCCUUCGGGGCUAAAUGCAUUUGUGCUAAGUUAUAGCAUUUUAUAGACAACUUGUUGACUAUGAUUUGUCUUGUAGCUUACUCGCUUAUGUUAUUUUACCUACGCUUAGGAUGUUGAUCUCUCACAGUCGAGC
rnacentral:rRNA from 1 species